rnacentral:rRNA from 1 species
GGUGCAUGGUUGUCGUCAGCUCGUGUCGUGAGAUGUUGGUUAAGUCCCGCAACGAGCGCAACCCUUAUUGCUAGUUACCAUCAUUGAGUUGGGGACUCUAGCGAGACUGCCAGCGAUAAGCUGGAGGAAGGUGGGGAUGACGUCAAGUCCUCAUGGCCCUUAUAGGUGGGGCUACACACGUCAUACAAUGGCUGGUACAAAGGGUUGCCAACCCGCGAGGGGGAGCCAAUCCCAUAAAGCCAGUCGUAGUCCGGAUCGUAGUCUGCAACUCGACUACGUGAAGUCGGAAUCGCUAGUAAUCGUGGAUCAGAAUGUCACGGUGAAUACGUUCCCGGGUCUU